rnacentral:rRNA from 1 species
GUCUUGUAAUUGGAAUGAUGGUGACCUAAACCCUCACCAGAGUAACAAUUGGAGGGCAAGUCUGGUGCCAGCAGCCGCGGUAAUUCCAGCUCCAAUAGCGUAUAUUAAACUUGUUGCAGUUAAAAAGCUCGUAGUUGAAUUUCUGCGUCACCGUAUUUUGACUUUUGUCGACUGUCGGUUUCGCUUUUGGGAUUUAUCCCUUUUUACUUUGAGAAAAUUAGAGUGUUUCAAGCAGACUUUUGUCUUGAAUACUUCAGCAUGGAAUAAUAGAGUAGGACUUUGGUUCUAUUUUGUUGGUUUGUGAACCUUAGUAAUGGUUAAUAGGAACGGUUGGGGGCAUUCGUAUUUAACUGUCAGAGGUGAAAUUCUUAGAUUUGUUAAAGACGAACUACUGCGAAAGCAUUUGCCAAGGACGUUUUCAUUAAUCAAGAACGAAAGUUAGGGGAUCGAAGACGAUCAGAUACCGUCGUAGUCCUAAC